UAUAAAUAGCUGCGUGACUUCCGUUCUGUCUCUCUGUCCUCCUGAAACAUGUUGCUACACAGGUCUGCUCUCUGCUCGUCACUGAACAUGAGAUGCUGCACCCCCUGUUGAUCACAUGUUGGAGCCAAGCAUCAGAAAUGGGAUAGAGCUACAAACCUGAUGCCUGUGGGACUACAGGUGGAGCCUCUGACGAGCUGCUCUGUGAGGAGCUUAGUGUCCCGCUGAAGGCCGACUACAGGUGCUGGAGCAGCAGCAGCUGCUGACCUGAAGGGGGCAGCAAACACCAGGAAGAGCAGUGUGCUUGAUGAGGGUCCAACGUGCACGUCUGGAUGAGAAGUCCUUCUGCUGACCUUGACUUCCGGACACACCUGGGUGUAUUUUCUUGAGGCGUGUCUGCUCCCCCUGACGGAGUCGGCGGGUCGAUGUAAACAUCUGUUACAUUUUGUUGGAAAGUGAUACCUGCUUGUAUUGUAAUAAAAGUUGAACUUAAAGAACCUCA